rnacentral:lncRNA from 1 species
GUCAACUGAGGUUUUUAAUUACAGGCACAGUAUUUAUGGGAUUCCCCAUGCAAGGGGUUUCCCUACUGACAUUCCAGGGGUGGCACAGUAGGGGACUACAUGGGGAACUGAACAAUACAUACAUUUUUCCCACCGUGCACUGCUGCACGAGAGGGAUACUCCCACUAGAAUAUACAGCUAAGUGGAUUAUCCCCCGGUGCAGCAGAACUUACAUUUCACAUUAAAAUACAUAAUUCCC